rnacentral:rRNA from 1 species
AAUUGAGGAAAUUGCUUUUGAUUAUAAGGAGUUAUUUAAAAUUGAUUUAAGUAUAAAAGUGUCUUUGUAAGUUUUGUAGAUAAGAUUAUUGAAGCUAUAGUAGAAUAGUAUCGUGUGAGGAGGUUAAUGAUGUUAAUAUUAAUAAAAGGUAAUUUAUUUGAUUGUAUCUUGUGUAUCAGAGUAAGUUUAAUUGAAUUAUAAAUUUUAUUUAUCUCGAAUUUUAAAGAGUUAAUUAGAUAAGCUAGUUUUUGUUUUAUAAAAAUUGGGGAUAUUUAUUUGGGAAUGAGAUGUUAAUCGUUUUAAAGGAUAUCUAGUUUUUUAAUAAAUGAAUUUAAUUCAGGAGAUACUAUUAUAUUAAUUAAUUUAAUAUUUUAAUAUUUUAGUAUUUCUAAUUUCUGAAGAGACAAUUUUUUGGAAAUAUUUUUAUAAUUUGUUUAGGUUAAGAGAAAAUGAUGGAUUUAGAAGUAGUUACGAAUUGAAGGAUGUUGAAAUUUAUUUCUUGAUUUAUUAGAUUUUAUUAGCAUUUAAAAUUUUUAUUAAAAUGUUGAAUAUAAUUAAUUAUUUUUGGGACUUAUGAUUUAAUUAGUAAAUAGGAUUUGUGGAAAGGAUAAGAUUGAUGAAUUGUUAUAAAAAGGAAUUCGGCAAAGAUUUUACUCGCCUGUUUAAUAAAAACAUGGUUUCUUGAAUAUAACAUAGGAAAUUUAACCUGCCCACUGAAAAAUUUAAAGGGCCGCAGUAUUUUGACUGUGCAAAGGUAGCAUAAUCAUUAGUCUUUUAAUUGAAGGCUGGUAUGAAUGGUUGGACGAGGUAAAUUCUGUCUUAUGGUAAUUAAAGUUGAAGUUAGAAGUUAAGUUAAAAUACUUAAAUGUUAUUAGGGGACGAGAAGACCCUAUAGAGUUUUAUAAAAUAAUUAAUUAAUUGAGUUUUUUAAUAAUUUUUGAUUGAUUAGAAGGUUUAUUUGGUUGGGGUGAUUUAAAGAUACAAAAAACUCUUUAUAAAAAUUAAUUACUAUUAUUAGUUUUGUGAUCCAUAAUUUGUGAUUAAAAGAUUAAAUUACCUUAGGGAUAACAGCAUAAUUCUUUUGGAGAGUUCAUAUCGAAAAAGGAGAUUGUGACCUCGAUGUUGGAUUAAGAUAAAUUUUGGGUGUAGAUGUUCAUAUUAUUAGGUCUGUUCGACCUUUAAAUUCUUACAUGAUCUGAGUUUAAACCGGCGUGAGCCAGGUUGGUUUCUAUCUCUAAUUUUUUUAAGAUGUUUUAGUACGAGAGGACCAAACAUUAGGAAUAAUUUCGUUGUUUAGAAUAUUAUUAACUUGAUUAA